rfam:Pneumocystis jirovecii RT7 supercont1.1, whole genome shotgun sequence.
GAUUCGGUGGUCUAGUCGGUUAUGGCGCCAGCCUAACACGCUGGAAGUCGGGAGUUCGAGCCUCCCUCGAAUCA